rnacentral:rRNA from 1 species
GGACGGGUGAGUAACACGUGAGCAACCUGCCUAUCAGAGGGGGAUAACGAUUGGAAACGAUCGCUAAUACCGCAUGACAUAGCGGAAUCGCAUGGUUCUGUUAUCAAAGAUUUUAUCGCUGAUAGAUGGGCUCGCGUCCGAUUAGAUAGUUGGUGGGGUAACGGCCUACCAAGUCGACGAUCGGUAGCCGGACUGAGAGGUCGAACGGCCACAUUGGGACUGAGACACGGCCCAGACUCCUACGGGAGGCAGCAGUGGGGGAUAUUGCACAAUGGGGGAAACCCUGAUGCAGCGACGCCGCGUGAGGGAAGACGGUCCUCUGGAUUGUAAACCUCUGUCUUCGGGGACGAAACGAGACGGUACCCGAGGAGGAAGCCACGGCUAACUACGUGCCAGCAGCCGCGGUAAUACGUAGGUGGCAAGCGUUGUCCGGAAUUACUGGGUGUAAAGGGAGCGUAGGCGGGCAGGCAAGUCAGGCGUGAAAUAUAUCGGCUCAACCGGUAACGGCGCUUGAAACUGCAGGUCUUGAGUGAAGUAGAGGUUGGCGGAAUUCCUAGUGUAGCGGUGAAAUGCGUAGAUAUUAGGAGGAACACCAGUGGCGAAGGCGGCCAACUGGGCUUUUACUGACGCUGAGGCUCGAAAGUGUGGGGAGCAAACAGGAUUAGAUACCCUGGUAGUCCACACCGUAAACGAUGAUUACUAA